rnacentral:rRNA from 1 species
AUUCCAGCUCCAAUAGCGUACACUAAAGUUGUUGCAGUUAAAAAGCUCGUAGUCUAAUGUAUGGGAGUUGCGGGGUGGGUGUUUUGCUGGUUCUGCCGGCGAGACAAGACUCGCUCCGCUUCCCGCGUUUUCCCUUUUUGUAAAAGAAGGGAUACUUCACUGUAAGUAAAACAACUCGCUCAACAGCAAGGUUAUCUUGAUAUGAAUUAGUAUGGGAUGAUGAGAUAGGCUCGGUCCGUAUUUUGUUGGUUUUAGUGGUCUGAGAAUGAUGAAGAGGGACAAUUGGGGGUAUUCGUAUUUACAUGUCAGAGGUGGAAUUCUUGGAUUUUGGAAAGACGAACUAAUGCGAAAGCAUCUACCAAAGAUGUUUUCAUCA